rnacentral:lncRNA from 1 species
CUCCUGCUGUAUCAACGUACACAAGUUAUUCGUCACCCCCCGGUUAUUUUGCUGCAGCCGGACUGCGGCAGAUGGUGGCCCGUUACGGGGAGCCCCGGGACACUCGGGGGUAAGUGACGAAAAAAAGCUGCCCGUCCAUAGAUAGGACGGGAGCAAAUCUGCUCGUCCCUAGGCAGAUAGGGCGAGAGGAAAAAUGGCCAUUUCGAGAAAAUGGAGAAGAUUGAUACAGUAUGUUUGUGUCUUGUUUUGUCUCAGUGUAUUGUAUUGUCUUUGUGAUGAAAAUAUGGAAGGGGUGAGAAGUAAAUUACUAAGGGAAGAAGGCACCCCAGUGGAACCAAGAAUAGUUAGGGCAUGUGUUGAUAAGAGCCCAGGAACUCUAGUCAGAAAGAAAAAGAAAGUUCAGAAGAAGAAGGAUUAUCAGGAAAAAAGUUGCAGCAAAAGGCUAUUACUAAAUACUUUUCGUUACCGGAGGGUGCGUGAAUCGGUGCAGCGGCUGCCGAGUGUGCAAGCCGGUCACAGCAUAGCAAGGAUUUUCCAAGAGGCGGCGGCGACUGGCCCUUCCCCGCCUCCUGGCCGGGGAGCUGGCUCUUCCACUGCCAGGAGCCCAAAUCUAGACCUGACCUGGAGGCACAGUCUCGCAGGCUCUUGCUCCCUGUGCCCAGUAGCAGUUUGAGUCCGGGACACUCCCCAGGGCCAUCUGGGGCUGCCCAGGCACUACAGCCAGCAGAAGACACUACUGGUGUCCCUGAUGUUUGGUCAUUUUCAAUGCCAAUAACUAAGCUACAAUGGUUCUCCCACACCUGGAAGCUGAUGAGUAAUGAGCACUAUUAAUGCUUAUUUCAAAUGCAAAAAAAACCUUGAAAUAAUGUACUAAAUUGUUCAGAAGGUUGUUUUCUUAGUAGUAUACUACAGGAUUUUCUUUAGCCAUCCGGAGUUCCUGCCUUCAUCCCAGUGCCAGUGAAGACGAAGGUGGAAGAAUUUCCAGUGUUGCUGAGAAACAGACGAGACUUCGGAUCAAGCUAGUUGCCUGCAGAACUUAUCUGGACUGUGAUUUAAGCUAGCUGCCUGCAGAACUUACCUGGACUGUGAUUUACCUGGACUCUGAGUUAAUCUAUUGAGACACUGCUUUACCUGGACUGACACAACAAAAUGUAAUCUACAACAAAUUGUAACUCGGUAUCUUUGCAGAUGGUGUCAUUGCUGGUAUAAUUUUUCCAAGGGCUUCUUGCAUGGAGCCAUCAAUUGGCUUGGUAUUGUGGCAUUUUGUAUCCUCCCUUUCUGUUUGUAGCAGGUUAUUUAUGGUGUUUCUGUAAAAACCACUAUGGUCAUUAUUUAAAUUAAACAAAAGGGGGAAAUGUUAGAGUCUGUAAACAAGUCAAAAUAACACCUGGCAUUUUGCCAGGGGAAUGUUAGAGUUCGUAAACAAGUCUGGAUGGUGCCUGGCAAAAUGCCAGAGGGAGUGGUUUGAGAAGUAACAAAAGCGAGCCAUUAAGUGUGGAGAUUCCUUAUUGGUUGACUGAUGUAUGUAGUUUAUGCUAAUUAGAUAAGCUGUG